GUUAAUACCAUAAAGUUAAUAUUCCUUCGGAAUAGAGCAACAAAGAAUGAGCGAGCGAGAUGUCACUAUCUGCAACCCUGUGUGAUAAAAAGAGAUGUGUGAUGCUAUCAUCGUCACGUCAAUAGAACCAUUUUUGCAAAAGAUUUGACAGGCAGUGACACAUAGAGGCACAAAGAAAAUUUUAAAUUAUAGUUUUUUAUAAAAAUAUCGUAAAAUCCUGUUUAUUUUUGGAAAAUUUGUUUUCUUAUAUAAUGGUGACCUGUUCCGUCCUUGAUUGUGAUGUACACCAAAGGAAUAAUCCUGCAAAAUAUUCAUUUCACAGAUGUUUGUACUGUGCGGGAAUCAAACCCGCUACCUCCGGAAUAGUAGUCCGUUUCAAACCACUACACUAUACGGCCAACAACGAUUAUUACAUCGUUAGAAUCCUAUUUUCUUACGUUAUCGUCAGAAUUAUCAUUUUUUAAUUAUUGUUUUACUCCUACUAAUAUUAUAAAUGCGAAAGUUUGUAUGGAUGUCUUGAUGUUUGUAACUCUCAUUCUUCCAAAUAAAUAAGUUGAAUAAUUUUAA